UGACAGUCCUCAGCAGCACUGGGGACAUUUACUGAUAAAGAAGUAGGAAGAGGGGACAAAGCCUCUGGGGCUGAAGCUCCUCCCCACAGUGUUCAGAAGUGCUGCUUUGUUUGGAUUUCUGUUUCCCCUCCCUGUACUACCUCUGGGAGCUCAGGGACAGCCAGAGGCUUAAAGGGAACUUUGUAGUGAAAGGAACGGAACACUGGCCUGAGUCAGAAUCUCUAGUUCCAUGCCUUGUAGCUGCCACUCACUCACUUUAUGACCUCAAGGAAACCUCAAUUCCCAUCUGUAACAGACAUCAAAAGAAGUGCUCAGAGCUGCCUUGAAGUUCCCCAAGUUCACUCUCCUCUCAGGACAGAGCUUCACCCUUCACCCACAGGCGGUCCCUGGUGUGUGUACUCACAGAAUGACGUGGCCCCCGAGCAGUUUCCCGUGACCUUCAUUGCUCCUGCAAGGCCCAUACCAGAUGCAGCUUUGAACGUCAGAAAUGACUUUGUUGAAAUGACUAGUGUACACAUCUGCUUGUUAAGGAUGAGACAUCCAUGAGACUCAAUCUCCUAUCGCAGAGUACCAGCUCUCUCCAUAUCUGAAAUAUGUUUUUGUUAUACUAUCCUUGAAUUGUGUUCUGUUUGUUUGUUUUAUUUUCUGUUCUAGCCUGUGCUUUCAUCUUUGUUUUAUAUUUGCAGUUUGAAUUUGAGUUCAAGGUACUCCAUACUCAUCUCUGAUUAGAAUACAAUAAGAUUUUUUAAAAAGAUUUUACUUAUUUUUGAGAGAGAGAGAAAAAGAGAGAGCACGAGCAGGGGAAGGGGCAGAGGGAGAAGUAGACUCCCCUCUGAUCAGGGAGCCCGAUUCAGGGCUCCCUCCGAGGACCCUUAGGUCAUGAUCUGAGCCAAAGGCAGACGCUUAACUGACUGAGCCACCCAGGCGGCCUGGGAUACAAUGAAAUUUAAAUCUAAAAAAAAAAAAAAAAAAGAAAAUUAAUUUUAGAGAAAAUAAAGAAUAAAAAGGUGCUGCCAUAUAAUCUAGGAUAGUACAAGUAAGUCCACAUUUAUGCUUACCGUAUAAAUACCUCUUUAACCCUAGAGAUUCUAGAGUUUGUGAGAGAAAGAAUCAGCAGGGCUGAACGAGUUUCAAGUUGAAAACUAAGUGCUGUUGCUGAGUCCUUCAGCUGACAACCUCUGGGCACCCUCUGUGGUCAUCAUUGUUCUCUUCCCUGCCCACAAGGCUUAUUUUCCACCUCACACCCUGUAAACCACCUGCCUUCCUUUCCACAGCUGUGAGCUGCCCUCCAUUCAGACCUGCCUCCUUCAAAAUACUCCAGAAAAUAGGGAAGCAUUUCUAAGGCUCUCCAUUCAGAGAAGCAGCAGAAGAGUUCAAUAGUUGUUUACUAGCCUUUCUUGUUUUCAUUCCUCAUGUGUCGAAUAUAUUUUUCACAGUUUGGUUAGCUAAUGUUUCAAUGAUCUAUUCUUGAAUAAGUUCUGUGAGUUAGCAGUUCUCACCAGGGGCCUCUCAUGGAAUUGCAGUCGGGUGGUAUGUGAGCUGGACUCCUGUGAGGGCUCACCUGGUCUGUAAGUCCAGGAUGCCUACUUCCUGUGUGUUUGCUGCCUCCGUGGGGGGGCCAACUGGCACCUGUCUUCCGGCUGCUUUCCCAAGGGACCGGUAUACAUUUCCUCAUAAGAAAGCCUUUCAGGGCAGUUGGGCUUCUCCCACGGCAAGCAUUCCAAGAAGCUCAGGUGGAAACUGCACCGCUUCUUAGGAACUAAGCGUUAGAAAUCACCACAGCUUCGCUUCUAGUGCAUUCCAGGGUAAGGGGCAGCAGGGGCUAAAAAUGGGAGUUUCGCUCUCAGUGAGGAUGGUAGAAGUUGG
ensembl:lincRNA